AGGAUUUCCUGCACCGCCAGCCGCCUCUUCCCCCAGCACAAGGUGCUCUCGGGGCACAUAGUCUGGCACGCGAGGGCCCCGGCGGGGCUGUUAGAGGCUCGUGGUCAUCCUGACCAUGUGGUCCAGGGCGCCCCGGUCCUCUGGGCCCCGCAUGGAGCGCGGCGUCAGCGCGGACAGCUCGCAGUCCCUGAGCCUCUGCAGGCAGUUCUUGGAGCCCUCGGGCUUUUGCGGCCUCUCGGGGAGCGGCGGCAGCUCAAGCUGGUACUUUUUCCCCAACAGCUCCCGGCAGGGGCGCUCCAGGAGCCUCUGCAUGAGGCGGACGUAUAAGUGGCCACUCCUCUGGCGACAUCCCACGGCGGGGGCCCUCGCGUGGACACCCGCCCCUGCUAGCUCAGGGCUCCGAUGCGAUCCGUUCGACCCUGCAUGGCGGCUUUCAACCCGAACGCGUCCCUCCUUCAAGAUCAAGACCCUGAACGUAGUUCAACAAGUAGUUGGUGAUGAUAGCGUGCCCUGACUGGGCCAGGAUAGCCUCUUUAGUAAAACAGCCACGAAAGUCAUGAAACAGAUGCUCAGCUCCUUUCUUCAUUUUCACUUUAAUUCGGUGAUGCCUCUGUGUCUGUCUGACGACAUCUCUCCUGGGGUCUGUGAUUCUGCUGAUGGUCUUCAGUGCCUACUGAGAAGGGUUCCUGGACAUCAUCAGGUAUGAAAACCUCAAAGCUCUCGGUCCUCAACGUGAGAACCCUGGGCCAGCGGCAUCAGCCUCACCAGGAAACCUGUUCUUCUGCUCAUUCUUGGGCCCCACCCCAGGCCUAUUCAAAGAAAGACUCCAGGGGCAGGGCCUGGCAGCCUGUGUUUCCACCAGAUCUGUGUUAAAGCUCAAAUGAACCAGCCCACGUGAUGCUGACCAGGAAGCACAAGGCUGAGAGCCAGUGUCCAAGGCAACGGUGCCCAUGGGGCCAGAGGCAGCUCCUGCCUGUGCAGCUGUAUUUAGGGCUGCGUUCCCCUCCCUGUCCUGCCAGUUGACGUCAGUGUGGGGUUACUCAGCUAAGGCCACCACGGUAUAUCCACAAAGCCGUGGUAGCAGGCGACAUUAAGGCUGGUCCAGCCAUUGUGGUCAGUCUCCUGCGCCUUCUCAACGCUCACCCCUCGCCGCACCAGCGUCCGCAGCAGCCCCAUGCCUCCUGGACGCCCUCCUCCGGGACGCUCUCCAAGCCCUCGACGCCGUGCUCCUCCUCGUCCUGGAAAGGGUACAGAGUCGUCCCAGGCUAUGCUGCAGGUGUGGGGCCCUGGAACUCUUUGUAGUCAGCGCGGUCCUCCUCGACCUGUGCGCCUAGGAGUGGGGACGGCGGUGGCGGGGUCAUGCAGCGCUCCCAGCCACCCUGCGGCCGGGUCCCAGCCAGCAGCACCAUGCCAGCGGCCGGAGGCGUGGGCUGGGGGCCGGGGCACCGUCCCGGAAAACCGGGCGCGCCCCAAGGUCCCUGCUUCUCGCUUCCGCGUCCCCAGAGAAGCCGUAGCUCCCGCCCCCAGCCCGGCAGAAACCUCCUUUCUUUACAUUAUUAAGUUUGUUUUCAUUUUAAUUUUCUUAGGACAUUGAUAAAAUCACUUUCGGAUUUUUGAGAUUAAAAAUUAAAUAAUUUUCAUCUUUACCCUUUUUAAAUUUUUCACACUUUAUUUUAAUGCUUUUAUUCUUUUGUAAAUUUUAAUUAUUGUAAUUUAUAUCUUCAAUUAUUAUGGAAGAAUUUUAGAAAAGUCUUUUCACAUAAUAAAGACUAAUUAAUGAACUAUUAUUUAUUCUCUCCUCUAUCUCAAAUACGGACUUUAAACUUUUAGAACACUUUUUGUUUUGAGACUCUUGUUACUUAUGUGACAUUUUAACUAUUCA
ensembl:lncRNA LINC03052 long intergenic non-protein coding RNA 3052